AAAAGCUAAGCAUAUUGGCUGCGCUGUGUGCCAAGGCGCAUCCCUCUUCAUCCCCCUUCUCCCCCUUCUGGGCCUCUGAUGCCGGGCUCACUGGUAGUGCACUUUCCCUGCAGGGGGCCCCGGAGCUGAGCUUGUCCUUACACCACAAACAUAUGUAAGGACACCUGAGCUACGGCCUCCAGCCUCCCGCCACCAAGGGUUAAUUUUCCACCCAGCCGUGCGGCAGCCAGACUUGGCCAAGUUUCCUGUCGCCCACAGUGCACCACAAGCUGUGUUUGGGAGCCAGCAAACAACAUUAAUCCUGCCCCUAUGACGGAUCGCAUAUGCAAAAUGUCCGCCACCCUACGUGUUCACACAGCCAGGCAGGUGUCGAUGUGUGCGAUGCCAGGAAAGGUCAGGAGAUGAUUUACUGAACAUUUAUGGAGGCUUUAUCUUCAAUCCUUGUCACCAAGUCGGGCGAUGCUUCAUAGUGGGUCGCCAAACAGACGUGGAAAAAGAGAGAGCGGGACAACGCCACAACCCCUGAGUUCCGCAAUGACACAGAAUAAAGAUGAGAGGAGAAACGGUGCGAAAACUCGGCAUAGAUGUGGCGAGCCAGAGAGAACGGGCUCUCAGCACGUGUGGUGCCAAAGGAGGGCAAUGCCCGCUGCACCCUCAAUGUCCGUGUUUGUGUGUGCGGCACAGAGACAAAGGCAUAAACCUCCUGCAGCAGAGGCUCUGUCUUUAACCAGUCCAACUCUUGGCAGGUACAGAAUACUAAAGGACCAUUUUAUUUCUAAAUGA
ensembl:lncRNA